rnacentral:rRNA from 1 species
CCUACGGGUGGCAGCAGUGAGGAAUAUUGGUCAAUGGACGAGAGUCUGAACCAGCCAAGUAGCGUGAAGGAUGACUGCCCUAUGGGUUGUAAACUUCUUUUAUAAAGGAAUAAAACGAGGCACGUGUGCCUUUUUGCAUGUACUUUAUGAAUAAGGAUCGGCUAACUCCGUGCCAGCAGCCGCGGUAAUACGGAGGAUCCGAGCGUUAUCCGGAUUUAUUGGGUUUAAAGGGAGCGUAGAUGGGUUGUUAAGUCAGUUGUGAAAGUUUGGGGCUCAACCGUAAAAUUGCAAUUGAUACUGGCAGUCUUGAGUACAGUUGAGGGAGGCAGAAUUCGUGGUGUAGCGGUGAAAUGCUUAGAGAUCAGGAAGAACCCCGAUUGCGAAGGCAGCUUACUAAACUGUGACUGACAUUGAUGCUCGAAAGUGUGGGUAGCAAACAGGAUUAGAUACCCGAGUAGUC